GCUGUCAACCCAGAGCUUUUUCAAUAAUCAGCUUUGAACUAUUCAAAUACUCUGCUUCCCCUCCCUGAAGGCAGGAUGUAGGCAGCCAUGUUGGACAGAACUCCUGCUGGCUUAUCUGUCCGGCCCUAGGGACGAGUCCACACUGGUGGGCAUGCUCUGCCAAGCCCCGUGAGCAUUAACUUAGUCAGGUCAUCUUCUCUCCAGUCUGCAAACCGCUAUUUCAUCCUACAAAAAUGCCUAAACGAUUUCAAUGGGAAGGCUAUCCUAUUGUGUGACCGACUUUACAUCUUAAGCUACCAAGGCGACACCAUGGAUAAGGCAGCGCGAGCCUAGAGACGUUCCGAGGAGACUCAGAAUAACCCGGAAGGCAUCAUUCCCAGGGGUUUCUCUUGAACUCCAGUCCCCUCCAGAGUCUUCGGUGAACACUAAAUGCCAAUUCAUAUUAAUUGGGAGAAGCACUGUGUCAAGCCCACCGCCACCCCAAGUACAUUGCUGAGGGUGACAGUGUGUGCAGCCGGGUACCCUGCUUCUCCACGAGCCACAGGGCCACCCGCGGAGGAGAGGACACAGAGGCACACAGAGGAAAAUGUCAUGUGAACAUGGAAGCAGACAUUGGGGAGACACCUCCACAAGCCAGGGAACUCCAUGAGUCACCAGAAGCUGGAAGAGGAAGAGGCAAUCUUCCCUAGAGCCUUCUGAAGAAUUAUGACCCUACGGACCUGAUUUCAGAAUUUUUGGCUCCCAGAACGAUGAGCAAUAAAUCGGUGUUGUCAUA